rnacentral:rRNA from 1 species
UUGAACGCUGGCGGCAGGCCUAACCCAUGCAAGUCGAACGGUAACAGGAAGCAGCUUGCUGCUUCGCUGACGAGUGGCGGACGGGUGAGUAAUGUCUGGGAAGCUGCCUGAUGGAGGGGGAUAACUACUGGAAACGGUAGCUAAUACCGCAUAAUGUCGCAGGACCAAAGAGGGGGACCUUCGGGCCUCUUGCCAUCGGAUGUGCCCAGAUGGGAUUAGCUUGUUGGUGGGGUAACGGCUCACCAAGGCGACGAUCCCUAGCUGGUCUGAGAGGAUGACCAGCCACACUGGGACUGAGACACGGUCCAGACUCCUACGGGAGGCAGCAGUGGGGAAUAUUGCACAAUGGGCGCAAGCCUGAUGCAGCCAUGCCGCGUGUAUGAAGAAGGCCUUCGGGUUGUAAAGUACUUUCAGCGGGGAGGAAGGGAGUAAAGUUAAUACCUUUGCUCAUUGACGUUACCCGCAGAAGAAGCACCGGCUAACUCCGUG